rnacentral:rRNA from 1 species
UUUUACGGAGAGUUUGAUCCUGGCUCAGGAUGAACGCUGGCGGCGUGCUUAACACAUGCAAGUCGAACGAUGAAGCCCAGCUUGCUGGGUGGAUUAGUGGCGAACGGGUGAGUAACACGUGAGCAACCUGCCCCUGACUCUGGGAUAAGCGCUGGAAACGGCGUCUAAUACUGGAUAUGUCCCAUCACCGCAUGGUGUGUGGGUGGAAAGAUUUUUCGGUUGGGGAUGGGCUCGCGGCCUAUCAGCUUGUUGGU